CUGGCGUGGCCCUUGCCGGGGCGUGACACGUCGUCCGGCCCUUCUCCGGAGCUGAAUUUGGAGGCUGCGCGUUGCUUGCUUCCUCCGUCGUUGGAUGCCCAUCGUGCGUCCAUGCCUGCCUGACGCUGAUCAUUUUGCAAAAAAGCCCUUAAACUAAUUGAUAAUUUGGUUUUAGAUCUCUGGUAUACAGUUUCUACGUUCUACGUUAUUACGUAUAGGACCUCUAAAAAAGAAAUAUUCUAAUCAAAGAAGCAAAAAACAGAAAAUAGGACUGCGCUCGAAAACAUAGAAACUAAGGGGGUUUUCUGCAACAACUUGCAUCCCUAUCCCGGUCCCUCACCCCACGAAACCCUAGCCGCCGCCGUUCCGUCACCUCUCUCUUCUCGCUCGCUCUCCCUAGACCACACCGCCGCAUCCGCCUCCGCCUCCGACCACUCUUCUUGCACCCAGCCAAAUCGCCGCACCUCCCCCUUGCCACCGCGAGGCCAGUUCCGGCGGAGGGUAGACCGUGCUCGCCGGAUUCGGGUAGCCACGACCUCCUUGCCGGCGGAUCCGGUCACCCGGAGGCAAGGGCAGGGCUAGCACAUGAGGCUCAUCGGCAGUGUCGCGGUUCUUAGCAAAUAACUCAGAUUUCCUUGAGCAUAUCAUUUCAGGAUAAAAAGCAUAAGAGGUGGUCGACCAUCUAUAGUUGCUUUGCCUCUCACACGAGCCACGAAUGAAGCUCCACAGCUUAGCGGCAAUUGUAUACCAGUAGAUGAUGCUGGUUUUGUUUGCCAUCAGUCAUCUUGAUUACCUUGGUUGAUGUGAUGGAAAAGGACUGCAGUUUGGAUCCAAACUUUGGAUCUAAACACAGCCUAAAUGUGAAACUAAUUCUGUGAGUAGAUGAGGUUCUGUGAUAAUUUUCUUGAGCAUAAGUGCACGUUUUGAUGUUCUCUAUCUGCAUUUUCUUGUAUGCUUUCCCCUUUUGUGCAGAUAAAUAACUGGCAAGAUAUUGGAAUGCCUAAGAAUGGUACAAAACUAAGAGCAAGAACUUUCGGUGCCAAUACAACACUGCCAGCCUUUGGUCAUGAAAACAUUAGAGAAUCAACUUAGACAUCACCAUAUCUUACAGGUGGGCUUAAAGUAUAUAAUAAACAAAGUGGAACAAGUCAUGAAUGUCAUGCCUAAUUGUUGUUGUUUUAACCAGGCAACAAACUCAGGAAAUCGAGAUGCACACUUCAAAUGAUCUGUUUGAUCAUGCAGAGUUAUAAAAAAGGUGGCGUGGUGGUCUUGCAUAGGUGGGUUUCAAAGUUUCUAUAUCAGUUUUUCAUUGAUGUGGUUCAAGUGUUAAAUUUCCUUGGGUUUUCUGCUCAGAAUUGUAGAUUUUCUUUACUGAAAACUGCAAGCGACAAGUUCUGUUCCAUUGGUCAAUAUAAUCUUUUUGGUGAUAUUCUGCAAGAUGUUUAGUCAAAUCCAUGACUAUUAUAUCCAGACUAGAACCAAAUUUAUACCACAAAAUAUAGUAUUUAUUGCUGAGGUCGUAGGGUUUAUUUGUAAUAAAAUGUGUUCUUUUUUAUUUUAUGUAUGUAUGACUACCUGCCUUUGUUUAAUUUAUUUCUCGCAUGCUUGUUUUCUAUACAUAUCUAACUUUCAUGUAACCUCUGUUUUUUUACCUGUCUUGUUGCCGGCAGCGCGGCAACGGCGCGCGCCACCCCUAGUAAUCUACACACGUGCUCCCGUCCCCGAUUUCC